AUACGGAGGGUGCAAGCGUUAAUCGGAAUUACUGGGCGUAAAGCGCUCGUAGGCGGUUUGUUAAGUCGGAUGUGAAAGCCCCGGGCUCAACCUGGGAACUGCAUUCGAUACUGGCAAACUAGAGUAUAGUAGAGGCAAGUGGAAUUCCGGGUGUAGCGGUGAAAUGCGUAGAUAUCCGGAGGAACAUCAGUGGCGAAGGCGACUUGCUGGACUAAUACUGACGCUGAGGAGCGAAAGCGUGGGGAGCAAACGGGAUUAGAAACCCGUGUAGUCC
rnacentral:rRNA from 1 species